GCUGGCGGCGUGGAUAAGACAUGCAAGUCGGACGAGAUUUCGUCCUGUAGCAAUACGGGAAGAAGUCUAGUGGCGAACGGGUGCUUAACACGUGGGCAAUCUGUCUUAAAGUGGGGGAUAGCUCGGCGAAAGCCGAAUUAAUACCGCAUGUGAUUAGAGUGGACAUCCAUUCAAAAUCAAAGUCGGGGCAACCUGACGCUUUUUGAGGAGCCCGCGGCCUAUCAGCUAGUUGGUGAGGUAACGGCUCACCAAGGCUUUGACGGGUAGCUGGUCUGAGAGGACGACCAGCCACACUGGGACUGAGACACGGCCCAGACACCUACGGGUGGCAGCAGUCGAGAAUUUUUCUCAAUGGGGGAAACCCUGAAGGAGCGACGCCGCGUGGAGGAUGAAGGUCUUCGGAUUGUAAACUCCUGUCAUUGGGGAACAAGGUGCAUACGUUAACUGCGUGUGCAUUGAUAGUACCCGAAGAGGAAGAGACGGCUAACUCUGUGCCAGCAGCCGCGGUAAUACAGAGGUCUCAAGCGUUGUUCGGAUUCAUUGGGCGUAAAGGGUGCGUAGGCGGCGCGGUAAGUCGG
rnacentral:rRNA from 1 species